CCCAGGGACCACAUUUUGAGAACAGCCUUUCAAAACUCUGCAGUAUGCGGUAAUGUGUGUUGUGAAUGCAGUAUGCAGUUGUGUGUGUUGUGAAUGAGACGGGCCCAGAGAACCAAAGGAGGGCAAAGGGACUCUGCCCUAAAUUAGCCAAAGGUAAAAAUAGCAGCUAGAAUUGAUUGACCCAAGAAAAAAUUAUAAGAACUUUACCUGCAUUUUCUCAUUUAAUCCUUUCAGUAAGGUACAUAGGUGCUACUUAGUGUUCCUCUUUUACAGGGGUGUCCAGAGAAGGUAACUACUUUGCCCACGUCCUAAACUGCCUAGCCCUGUGGUCUUGGGCUAAUCACUAACCUGCUUAGAUACAAUUUUCUUCUCUAUGAAAUAGAAACAAUAUUAUAUGCUUUGAAGGACUGCAGGAAGAUGAGCUGUAAUGUUUAUCAAGUGCCUAGUAAGUAGCCUGACCCAUAAUAAAUACUUGGCUAAUUGUA